rnacentral:rRNA from 1 species
UACGUAGGGUGCAAGCGUUGUCCGGAAUUAUUGGGCGUAAAGAGCUCGUAGGCGGUUUGUCGCGUCGAAUGUGAAAACCCGGGGCUCAACUCCGGGCCUGCAUUCGAUACGGGCAGACUAGAGUUCGGUAGGGGAGUCUGGAAUUCCUGGUGUAGCGGUGAAAUGCGCAGAUAUCAGGAGGAACACCGGUGGCGAAGGCGGGACUCUGGG